rnacentral:rRNA from 1 species
AGAGUUUGAUCCUGGCUCAGAAUCAACGCUGGCGGCGUGCCUAACACAUGCAAGUCGAACGCGAAAGUGGAGCAAUCCAUGAGUAGAGUGGCAAACGGGUGAGUAACACGUGGGUGACCUGCCUUCGAGUGGGGGAUAACUUUCCGAAAGGAAGGCUAAUACCGCAUGACAUACCGUGUUCAGAUACACGGAUAUCAAAGCUGGGGAUCGCAAGACCUGGCGCUUGAAGAGGGGCCCGCGUCCGAUUAGCUAGUUGGUGAGGUAACGGCUCACCAAGGCUCCGAUCGGUAUCCGGCCUGAGAGGGCGGACGGACACACUGGAACUGAGACACGGUCCAGACUCCUACGGGAGGCAGCAGUGGGGAAUUGUUCGCAAUGGGCGAAAGCCUGACGACGCAACGCCGCGUGGAGGAUGAAGAAUUUCGGUUCGUAAACUCCUUUCGACCGAGAUGAACAUCCCGCGAUCUAAUAAGUCGUGGGACUGACAGUAUCGAGAGAAGAAGCCCCGGCUAACUCUGUGCCAGCAGCCGCGGUAAUACAGGGGGGGCAAGCGUUGUUCGGAAUUACUGGGCGUAAAGGGUUCGUAGGUGGCCAACUAAGUCAGACGUGAAAUCCCUCAGCUUAACUGGGGAACUGCGUCUGAUACUGGUUGGCUUGAGUGCAGGAGAGGAAUGCGGAAUUCCAGGUGUAGCGGUGAAAUGCGUAGAUAUCUGGAGGAACACCGGCGGCGAAGGCGGCAUUCUGGACUGUAACUGACACUGAGGAACGAAAGCCAGGGGAGCAAACGGGAUUAGAUACCCCGGUAGUCCUGGCCCUAAACGAUGAAUGCUUGGUGUGGCGGGUAUCGAUCCCUGCCGUGCCGAAGUUAACGCAUUAAGCAUUCCGCCUGGGGAGUACGGUCGCAAGGCUGAAACUCAAAGGAUUGACGGG